rnacentral:rRNA from 1 species
AGCGUACACGGUGGAUGCCCUGGCAGUCAGAGGCGAUGAAGGACGUGCUAAUCUGCGAUAAGCGUCGGUAAGGUGAUAUGAACCGUUAUAACCGGCGAUUUCCGAAUGGGGAAACCCAGUGUGUUUCGACACACUAUCAUUAACUGAAUCCAUAGGUUAAUGAGGCGAACCGGGGGAACUGAAACAUCUAAGUACCCCGAGGAAAAGAAAUCAACCGAGAUUCCCCCAGUAGCGGCGAGCGAACGGGGAGCAGCCCAGAGCCUGAAUCAGUGUGUGUGUUAGUGGAAGCGUCUGGAAAGGCGCGCGAUACAGGGUGACAGCCCCGUACACAAAAAUGCACAUGCUGUGAGCUCGAUGAGUAGGGCGGGACACGUGGUAUCCUGUCUGAAUAUGGGGGGACCAUCCUCCAAGGCUAAAUACUCCUGACUGACCGAUAGUGAACCAGUACCGUGAGGGAAAGGCGAAAAGAACCCCGGCGAGGGGAGUGAAAAAGAACCUGAAACCGUGUACGUACAAGCAGUGGGAGCACGCUUAGGCGUGUGACUGCGUACCUUUUGUAUAAUGGGUCAGCGACUUAUAUUCUGUAGCAAGGUUAACCGAAUAGGGGAGCCGAAGGGAAACCGAGUCUUAACUGGGCGUUAAGUUGCAGGGUAUAGACCCGAAACCCGGUGAUCUAGCCAUGGGCAGGUUGAAGGUUGGGUAACACUAACUGGAGGACCGAACCGACUAAUGUUGAAAAAUUAGCGGAUGACUUGUGGCUGGGGGUGAAAGGCCAAUCAAACCGGGAGAUAGCUGGUUCUCCCCGAAAGCUAUUUAGGUAGCGCCUCGUGAACUCAUCUCCGGGGGUAGAGCACUGUUUCGGCAAGGGGGUCAUCCCGACUUACCAACCCGAUGCAAACUGCGAAUACCGGAGAAUGUUAUCACGGGAGACACACGGCGGGUGCUAACGUCCGUCGUGAAGAGGGAAACAACCCAGACCGCCAGCUAAGGUCCCAAAGUCAUGGUUAAGUGGGAAACGAUGUGGGAAGGCCCAGACAGCCAGGAUGUUGGCUUAGAAGCAGCCAUCAUUUAAAGAAAGCGUAAUAGCUCACUGGUCGAGUCGGCCUGCGCGGAAGAUGUAACGGGGCUAAACCAUGCACCGAAGCUGCGGCAGCGACGCUUAUGCGUUGUUGGGUAGGGGAGCGUUCUGUAAGCCUGUGAAGGUGUGCUGUGAGGCAUGCUGGAGGUAUCAGAAGUGCGAAUGCUGACAUAAGUAACGAUAAAGCGGGUGAAAAGCCCGCUCGCCGGAAGACCAAGGGUUCCUGUCCAACGUUAAUCGGGGCAGGGUGAGUCGACCCCUAAGGCGAGGCCGAAAGGCGUAGUCGAUGGGAAACAGGUUAAUAUUCCUGUACUUGGUGUUACUGCGAAGGGGGGACGGAGAAGGCUAUGUUGGCCGGGCGACGGUUGUCCCGGUUUAAGCGUGUAGGCUGGUUUUCCAGGCAAAUCCGGAAAAUCAAGGCUGAGGCGUGAUGACGAGGCACUACGGUGCUGAAGCAACAAAUGCCCUGCUUCCAGGAAAAGCCUCUAAGCAUCAGGUAACAUCAAAUCGUACCCCAAACCGACACAGGUGGUCAGGUAGAGAAUACCAAGGCGCUUGAGAGAACUCGGGUGAAGGAACUAGGCAAAAUGGUGCCGUAACUUCGGGAGAAGGCACGCUGAUAUGUAGGUGAAGCGACUUGCUCGUGGAGCUGAAAUCAGUCGAAGAUACCAGCUGGCUGCAACUGUUUAUUAAAAACACAGCACUGUGCAAACACGAAAGUGGACGUAUACGGUGUGACGCCUGCCCGGUGCCGGAAGGUUAAUUGAUGGGGUCAGCGCAAGCGAAGCUCUUGAUCGAAGCCCCGGUAAACGGCGGCCGUAACUAUAACGGUCCUAAGGUAGCGAAAUUCCUUGUCGGGUAAGUUCCGACCUGCACGAAUGGCGUAAUGAUGGCCAGGCUGUCUCCACCCGAGACUCAGUGAAAUUGAACUCGCUGUGAAGAUGCAGUGUACCCGCGGCAAGACGGAAAGACCCCGUGAACCUUUACUAUAGCUUGACACUGAACAUUGAGCCUUGAUGUGUAGGAUAGGUGGGAGGCUUAGAAGUGUGGACGCCAGUCUGCAUGGAGCCGACCUUGAAAUACCACCCUUUAAUGUUUGAUGUUCUAACGUUGACCCGUAAUCCGGGUUGCGGACAGUGUCUGGUGGGUAGUUUGACUGGGGCGGUCUCCUCCUAAAGAGUAACGGAGGAGCACGAAGGUUGGCUAAUCCUGGUCGGACAUCAGGAGGUUAGUGCAAUGGCAUAAGCCAGCUUGACUGCGAGCGUGACGGCGCGAGCAGGUGCGAAAGCAGGUCAUAGUGAUCCGGUGGUUCUGAAUGGAAGGGCCAUCGCUCAACGGAUAAAAGGUACUCCGGGGAUAACAGGCUGAUACCGCCCAAGAGUUCAUAUCGACGGCGGUGUUUGGCACCUCGAUGUCGGCUCAUCACAUCCUGGGGCUGAAGUAGGUCCCAAGGGUAUGGCUGUUCGCCAUUUAAAGUGGUACGCGAGCUGGGUUUAGAACGUCGUGAGACAGUUCGGUCCCUAUCUGCCGUGGGCGCUGGAGAACUGAGGGGGGCUGCUCCUAGUACGAGAGGACCGGAGUGGACGCAUCACUGGUGUUCGGGUUGUCAUGCCAAUGGCACUGCCCGGUAGCUAAAUGCGGAAGAGAUAAGUGCUGAAAGCAUCUAAGCACGAAACUUGCCCCGAGAUGAGUUCUCCCUGACUCCUUGA